rnacentral:lncRNA from 1 species
GAUAGAUCAAAUAUUUGUAAAGUAAUAUUCAAGAACCUAUGCAUAUGGUUACCAUAUAAUUUGUUCCUUUGAUUUUGAAUGCUCAAGACGACCUAGGAUUUACUGUCAACCCUGAAUGAGUCAUCUACAUUAUAUUUUAACCUUUCAAAUCUAUCACAUGGAUUAUUCUGAUCAAGAUUUUACUAAAUUAAAAUACAGUAAUGCAUUAUUUUCUAAAAUUUAAAGGGAUCAAUCCCAUCUUAAUCCACACACAAACUUUAUAAGUACUUGAUUGUACUUAGUAGCUUUUCUUCACUAUAUUAAAAAUACA